UUAGCUUCUUGUUCUUCCUGGUUGAGUGCUAUCAGUCCUCUAUCAAACAUGCAUUACAUUCGUAAUUCUUCUGUGUACAUCUAAUGAAUUUGUUCUCCUUAUAGGCAAUUUUUGAGCGAUUUGACAGGGAUAGGAGUGGCAAAAUUGAUGCUCAAGAAUUGAGAGAGGCUCUCCUUAGCCUUGGAUAUUCAGUAUCACCUGUGGUUUUGGAUCUGCUGGUGACCAAGUUUGAUAAAAGCGGUGGAAAAAACAAGGCUAUUGAGUAUGACAAUUUCAUCGAGUGCUGCCUCACUGUUAAGGGACUGACUGAAAAAUUCAAGGAGAAGGAUGCUACCUACUCUGGUUCGGCGACCUUCACCUAUGAAUCCUUCAUGUUGACCGUCAUGCCAUUCCUCAUAGCAUAGUGGAAUGCACCUAUCUUCCUUGUUUGAAUCCCAGCUUUUGAUUUUCUGCAGUCUGUGAAUUCGAGAGUUCUUUGUUAACACUAACGGUAUAAUGUUUAUGAGUUCAUCAACUAUGUGUUAUUACUUUAGGGACGGUUAUGAUCGAGUCCACACUUGUUAAGAGUUCAGUUAUGGGCAUCUCUGUAGUUCAAACUGUUGCCACCCUACUUCGAUAAAAUGUAUUCCUUAGAUAAUGCGUAAGUUUUCUAUUUUAUUUUGUU